rnacentral:rRNA from 1 species
ACGGGAGUAGCAAUACUCCAGUGGCGGACGGGUGAGUAACGCGUGAGAAUCUACCUUCUGGUCGGGGACAACCACUGGAAACGGUGGCUAAUACCGGAUAUGCCUUCGGGUAAAAGAUUUAUUGCCAGAAGAGGAGCUCGCGUCUGAUUAGCUAGUUGGUAGGGUAAAAGCCUACCAAGGCAUCGAUCAGUAGCUGGUCUGAGAGGACGAUCAGCCACACUGGGACUGAGACACGGCCCAGACUCCUACGGGAGGCAGCAGUGGGGAAUUUUCCGCAAUGGGCGAAAGCCUGACGGAGCAAGACCGCGUGAGGGAAGAAGGCUCUUGGGUCGUAAACCUCUUUUGUUAGGGAAGAACACAAUGACGGUACCUAACGAAUCAGCCUCGGCUAACUCCGUGCCAGCAGCCGCGGUAAUACGGAGGAGGCAAGCGUUAUCCGGAAUUAUUGGGCGUAAAGCGUCCGCAGGUGGCGAUUCAAGUCUGCGGUCAAAGACUGGGGCUUAACCCUGGAAAGGCCGUGGAAACUGAAGAGCUAGAGUGCAGUAGGGGUAGAGGGAAUUCCCGGUGUAGCGGUGAAAUGCGUAGAGCUCGGGAAGAACAUCGGUGGCGAAAGCGCUCUGCUGGACUGCAACUGACACUCAGGGACGAAAGCUAGGGGAGCGAAUGGGAUUAGAUACCCCAGUAGUCCUAGCCGUA